AGUGAACGCUGGCGGUAGGCCUAACACAUGCAAGUCGAACGGCAGCACAGUAAGAGCUUGCUCUUAUGGGUGGCGAGUGGCGGACGGGUGAGGAAUACAUCGGAAUCUACCUUUUCGUGGGGGAUAACGUAGGGAAACUUACGCUAAUACCGCAUACGACCUACGGGUGAAAGUGGGGGACCGCAAGGCCUCACGCGAUU
rnacentral:rRNA from 1 species